GCCAAACAGGGUCAGGAGCCGGAGCCGUCCGGGAGAGGGAACACUCGAGCGAUCCGUCCGUCCGCCCGCCCGUCGUCGUCGCGCGCCAUGGCUGAGGAGGAGGCCAAGAAGGUGGAGGUGGAGGUCACCGAGGCGCCACCCGCCGCUGCCGCUGCCGCGGAGACGGAGCCGGCUGCCAAGGACGUCGCCGAGGAGAAGGCCGUCAUCCCCGCCCCCGCGCCGCCGGCCGAGGAGGAGAAGCCUCCCGUCGACGACUCCAAGGCGCUGGCCAUCGUCGAGAAGGUUGCAGAUGAACCUCCUGCCGAGAAACCUGCUCAAGGGGGCUCUAAUGACAGAGAUGUUGCUCUUGCAAGGGUGGAAACUGAGAAGAGGAACUCAUUGAUCAAAGCAUGGGAGGAAAAUGAGAAGACAAAAGCUGAGAACAAGGCUUCGAAGAAGCUAUCUGCUAUUCUUUCCUGGGAGAACACAAAGAAAGCAAACAUAGAAGCUCAACUGAAGAAGAUUGAGGAGCAACUGGAAAAGAAGAAGGCUGAAUAUGCAGAGAAGAUGAAGAACAAAGUCGCGAUCGUCCACAAGGAAGCUGAGGAGAAGAGAGCAAUGGUCGAGGCAAAGCGCGGCGAGGAAGUCCUAAAGGCCGAGGAGAUGGCAGCCAAGUACCGUGCCACCGGCCAUGCUCCCAAGAAACUCAUCGGGUGCUUUGGGGCCUAAAGAAAUUUUCGAUUCACAACGAGCAAACGUGAAAGUGUUCAUCAGUGGUUGCUUUGCUUCUUUCACCCUCCCAAGUGCGUAGUGUGUUUGUUGGUGCAAGAAAGGUCG
rnacentral:misc_RNA from 1 species